rnacentral:rRNA from 1 species
AGAGUUUGAUCCUGGCUCAGAACGAACGCUGGCGGCAGGCCUAACACAUGCAAGUCGAACGCUGCAGCAAUGCAGAGUGGCAGACGGGUGAGUAACGCGUGGGAACCUUCCCAGUGGUACGGAAUAGCCCAGGGAAACUUGGGGUAAUACCGUAUACGCCCCUAGGGGGAAAGAUUUAUCGCCAUUGGAUGGGCCCGCGU